GACGGAGGGUGCAAACGUUGUUCGGAAUCACUGGGCGUAAAGGGCGCGUAGGCGGACUCGUAAGUCGGGAGUGAAAACUCGGGGCUCAACCCCGAGCCUGCUUCUGAAACUGCGAGUCUUGAGGACCGGAGAGGAAAGUGGAAUUCCUAGUGUAGCGGUGGAAUGCGUAGAUAUUAGGAAGAACACCAGUGGCGAAGGCGACUUUCUGGACGGUUCCUGACGCUGAGGCGCGAAAGCUAGGGGAGCGAACGGG
rnacentral:rRNA from 1 species